GACCUCGUGUUAGGGUAGAGUACCCGCCAAAUUUAAGCAUAUUAAUAAGCGGAGGAAAAGAAACCAACAGGGAUUCCCUUAGUAAGGGCGACUGAACCGGGAAAAGCCCAGCGCAUAACCUGGCGUCGUGACCCGGCGCCAGGGGUGUUGCGUUUCGGAGGGUCCGGCACGCAGUCUCUCACCGCCUAAGUUAUGCUUGAAAGCGGCCACUACCCAUGGAGGGUGACAGGCCCGUGUGGCGGAGCCCGCGAGGGUACGCGAGAGAUUGUCGGAAAGGGCCUCUCUGUAGAGUCGGGUUGCUUGAGAAUGCAGCCCUAAGCAGGUGGUAAACUCCAUCUUAAGGCUUAAAUAUGACCAACGAGACCGAUAGCGAA
rnacentral:rRNA from 1 species